AGCUUCGAGGUGUUUAACACGUCAAAAUGCAAGUUUGAAGUAGGACCCCAAAGGGUCCCGGGGCUU
rnacentral:tRNA from 1 species